GACUCUCGACAACGGAUAUCUCGGCUCUCGCAUCGAUGAAGAACGUAGCGAAAUGCGAUACUUGGUGUGAAUUGCAGAAUCCCGUGAACCAUCGAGUCUUUGAACGCAAGUUGCGCCCGAAGCCACUAGGCUGAGGGCACGUCUGCCUGGGCGUCACAC
rnacentral:rRNA from 1 species